GCCAGGCUGGCUCAGUCAGGAGAGCAUGUGUCUCCUGAUCUUGGGGUUGUGAGUUCAAGCCCCAUGUUGGGCA
rnacentral:tRNA from 1 species